rnacentral:lncRNA from 1 species
AUUUAAUAUAUGUAUAAGGUACUACCCUCAUUAUUCUUCUUAUAAAUAGCCGUGCAUUGUGGAUGUUUGUCUGAGUAGUCAUGAUUAUGUAUUAAUAAGAAUAUUCCAAUUAAAAUACAUCUUUGCCUUAUUCCUCCACGUCAUUUCUCUCGUUCGUCCUGGAUUCCUUUAUUGAAGAGUUUGUGGCUCUUAACCUCGUCAAGACCCAACAGGUUCUCCUUUAUACAGUCCACUCGCCCUUACAAAAUUAAAGUUGAAAGUAGAUAAGAAAAAUGGUAAGGGAAUAUGUGGGAACUACCUGUAAUGCUUACAGUUGUUAGAAUCGUUGAAAAAGAAGGAAUUUAAUUGGUUGAAAGAGAUUAUAUAAAAAAGGAUUAGCGCACGUUGGUACCCUUGCAUCUUCUAAACAAAUUUUCCUCAGUAUUGUACUAAUCAUCGGCAAAGAAACUUCCCCUUACUGCUCUCAUACGUCAUCAUCAUACCGAAGAAUUUUCAUGGGUUUCUAACAACGGAGGUGCUGAUGUGUGGAAUUAGGAUUUUGAAAAUAAAAGUAUAGGUAUCUUACCGUUUUUGCGGUUUCUCGUGCCCAUCUCGUUCUAUGGCAAGUAAUCCACCACUCGAAAACCUCCCAUCACAUCAACAACUUAAAAGUCGUGUAACAUCCCUUUAAAUGUUCUGGAUCAUCCUAAUUUCUCCAAGUUUAUUGAAAAAUAUACUGGAAAAACUUAUCUAGGUCGAUGGUUCGUUAACAACUUGGUUGUGGAAGUAUUUCAAGGAGUUUUGAAUAGAAUAAAAGAAGAGGUGGAAGAAAAAGAUAUUUUUGUUGCACUAGAUGAGACAAGAAAUCAUCAAGGGAGGUCAAUGAUGGCAAUUUUGACUAGCUUUUUGGACGGACCUUUCUGUGGGAGGCCUUACCCUAUUGACUUGAUUGAUAUUGAGAUUGCAAACGCAAACAAUGAAGGAGCAUCGUCAUAUACUCAGUUUAUAAGUUAUUGGGAGAAGAUUUUGUCACAUGCAGACUUACAGUUUUCAUCAAUGAUGCCGCCUCGUAUUGUUUCAAAGCAGGAGAAGAUCUUCAAAAAAAAAUCUUGGAAUUGAUCCACAUUACAUGUAUUGCUCAUGGAUUACAUAGAACUGCAGAUAUGGUUCAACAAAAGGUUCUUCUAACGAAUGAACUUAUUUCCAAUGUGAAGAAGAUGUUUUUGAAUUCUGGAAGAAUAAAGAGAGUAUUUACUGCUUCGUACGAAAUUCCCCUCCCUCCAUCACUAAUUAUAGCAAGAUUGGGAACUUUGUUAAAAGCAGUGGAGUACUACUACCAUCACUUCGACGUCUUCAGAGAAUAUUUAAACAGCCUUGAACCCUACAACCAGAAGAGCACAAGAAGUCAUUAAUAAUAAUUCCUUAAGAGAAAAAGUCGUAUUUAUAAAGGAACUUUUUCGUCAAAUACCUUUGGCAAUAACUGCGCUUGACGAAAUAUUGCCUUUUCUUACCAGCCUAACCAUAGUAGAAAAGCUGACUCAAGAUAUGAAGGAAGAGUCAUUCAAGACCAAGUUAAAAGAAGUGCUUCAAAAGAAUCCUAGCUACACAAAACUAAAGGAACUCUCAACAAGUGAAAACCUUGUAUACAAAAAUACUCCAAUUGGUAAUUGUGAUGCUGAGAUAGUCUUUAGUAUGAUGAAUAUCAUCAAUACGAAAAGGAGGUCCAAACUAAGUACUAAGAAAUUGAAGGAAUUGUCGAUCACCAAAUAGAAGUAAUGUUUUGUUAUCAUUUGAUUGUCAACACAUUUCGUGCCAAAGUUAUCUAUUUAUCCUUUAUGGUCAGUGGUGACUAAGAAGUUAUGAGUACACUUCCUGUAAUGAUGGGUUUGAUGUUUUCUAACUAACAAUAUAUUUUAUCUUUCAUAA